AUGCUUUUUUUUGGCAAAGAUGACGUUAUAUUGAAGCUGCCGGAUUCGUCCGGCUAUGGCGAUAAACGCGGUCGUAAUAAGCGGUUCGGACCCGGGGGCGGUACCCGGCGCCUCCACCACUCUCUUGCCGCGCCUUGCGGCCGGCUCCCGGAACGGGAGUCGCAAGGCGCAAUGUAAGAAUCCUACGGGGGCGAACUAGGAUCGACGAACGUGUAAAGGAUUUAGCUUUUGCCCGGCAUGAUACCACCGUCAUCGGGUCACACAGAGUAGUUGCAAAUGACAACUAUGCUGAGGCACGUCUCGCUGCUUAAUGCGGUGCGAUUAGCCUGAACUCGAAGCCCUUGCCCCUAGCCGGGUAAGGCGCGGUUCGGAGGGCACCGGGCAACAGAAGCCCUCCACU
rnacentral:tmRNA from 1 species